GUGCCAGCCGCCGCGGUAAGACGAACCGUGCGAACGUUGUUCGGAAUCACUGGGCUUAAAGGGCGCGUAGGCGGGCCGACGCGUCCGGGGUGAAAUCCUCCCGCUCAACGGGAGAACGGCCUCGGAGACAGUCGGUCUGGAGGGGGGUAGGGGCAGGCGGAACGCUGGGUGGAGCGGUGAAAUGCGUUGAUAUCCAGCGGAACUCCGGUGGCGAAGGCGGCCUGCUGGACCCUCACUGACGCUGAGGCGCGAAAGCCAGGGGAGCGAACGGGAUUAGAAACCCCUGUAGUCC
rnacentral:rRNA from 1 species